UUUCUUUCAUUCGGGGUUUUUCAAGCUAGAAGUUUUUAUGUUAUUGGGUUAUUGAUAAAGUUGAAAUUUUGCUUGAGUUAAUUUUCAUCAUCUCCUCUUUCUCAGUUUUUCCGAAAUCCCACACCAUUUCUUUUCUCCUCUUUCUCAAUUUUCAAUUUGUGAACUUUGAUUUUCAUUGUAAUUUUUGGCUACGAAAAUCUACAGGGAAACAAAACAAAAAUCAGGGCUGGGAAUUGUUGAUGGGAAAAUAACAGUUGAAGGUUCAUUCUAAGGUUUUGAUUUAAUUAUGUCUUCUUCUUUUGCUCAUUUUUGUUCUUCAACCCUAAUUUUCCUGCUUUGUGAAUUUAGUUUUGAUUUUUUCCAAUUUGUUCAUCAACACCACUUUCAUUUGAGUUGUGAAAAUUAACAUGUGAAAGAAAGCAAGAAUCAGGCAAGCCCAUUGCUUUCCGAUUUGAGUUAUUGUUUCUAUAUUUAUCACUUUCUGAUUUAAAGGAUGCUUGAUAUUGUUCUUUUUCAACUUUGAUAUUGUUCUUUUUUCUCCUUCUAUGUAGAAGGAUGAUUGAUUAAUUUUGGAUUCGACUUAGUCCAGAAUAAAAAGUAGUCAUUGAAGAUCAUCAAGACAAGGUUUCUCUGGGCGAAACAACUGGUUUGGCAGCAAAAUGUUUAGGCCUGCAAAAUUUCGAUGGUCAUUUGGCUUACUAUUUAGUUUUUUGAUGAUAAUUUGGGGAAGCAUUAGCUCCUCUAUCAAGAGGUAGCUUCAAGAAGCUUCAAUUUUAAAGAUUUAGCAUCUUGGGUUUUGGUGAAGAAAGGUGAAAAGAAAGAAAAUUUUGUUUUGGUACUACUACUGCAUUGCUCAGUGAAAAGAAGCUUAUUUGAAUGGUUUUGGAAUGUGUAUUUGAUUGGGCAUUGAAGGUUUUCAGAUUGAGUUGGUAGAGAAAUGGUGGUCAUUUGAAGAAGAGGAACCAAACCAAGUUUAAUUUGGAGAAAGAAAUCAAAAAGGAGGCGCUGACAGCUUUGUCGCUCGGUUUCUCCAUUGAUGAGCAGAUUAGGGUCGAUGUUAUCCAGGAGUUUGUAGGAAAAGAACAAAAUGACUACAUUGUUAUAAGAAAUCAUAUCCUUUUGAGAUGGAGGCCUAAGGUUCAAGUGUGGUUGUCUAAGGGAAACUGUCCUGCUUAUGAUUUUAUCUUGUACAACACCCUUUUCUCAUUUGCAAAUUGUUAAUUUUUUAUUCAACAUGAAAACCAAUUUUCUUGAUAAUAAAAUCAUAUACUAAACCUAUUGAA